UGAAAAAUGUAACAAAGUUUUAGUCUUUCAAUUCCAUUUAUGAUGUCAAAAUGUUAUAGUUUUCAAUUUAUGUACAAAUUUGGGUUAGUUGAUGCACUUAUCUGGGUAGGUGAGAGUUUUUGUUAUUUCUUUCUUUCGUUAAUUGAAGCUCAUCUGAUUCAAUUGUUCAUGUGUGGAAUUUGGUUUUGUAACUUCUUUGUUUAUGAUUGCAGAGAUGGAGCUAUCCCUGGUCUCACUUGAAAGAAACCUCCUUAAAGGGAUGAAGAAGCCGUGAAGAAAUCAACGCUGGUCUGCGCCGAAACAUUGAAGAACGAGGCAAUCCAAGGAUCUUUUCUAGAAGCAUACUACACCACAGUAAGGACUGCUGCCUUCUUCCUUGCCUAGCAGUUUUUGGUUUCUCAACUUUCUCUCUAUUUACUUUCCUUGCUGCUGCCUCCAUGCACUUUGGCAUCCGUUGCUGUGACAGGCAAGCAGAAAAACAUGGAACUACAUCAUCAUCAUCAGCACCAUUGUCAGCUGCUAAAUAGAAAAACAAUUGAAUUGAAAUAGCUAUGUUAUAUAGCUUUUGCUAGACUAAUCAAUUUCGUGCAGCUGCAACUACAACUCCAAUCGGAGCCGUCACUUUUUUGAACCAACACUAGCAUUUUACAAAGCUGCAACUGAAACAACCAACUGGAGUACUUUGUACAAACUGACUCCUUAAAUUCACUCCAGCAGCUCCUUUUGAUAGAUUAACCUAUCUCUUAUAUCCUUUUUGUAAAGCUACAACUAGAAUAGCUAGCCUUUUUGUGCAGCUAGCAUGUUUGCAUCAUCUCCUUUCAAAUAGACUGCAGCUAAAAUCUAAGAUGUAUGAAAACUGUUUUCACUAUUUGAAUGAAAUGUGAUGAUUUUC